rnacentral:rRNA from 1 species
CUACGGGCGGCUCCAGUGGGGAAUAUUGGACAAUGGGGGAAACCCUGAUCCAGCAAUGCCGCGUGUGUGAAGAAGGCCUGCGGGUUGUAAAGCACUUUCGGUUGGGAGGACUGCUUCUAGCACUAAUAUUGUUGGAAGUUGACGUUACCUUCAGAAGAAGCACCGGCUAACUCCGUGCCAGCAGCCGCGGUAAUACGGAGGGUGCAAGAGUUAAUCGGAAUUACUGGGCGUAAAGCGCGCGUAGGCGGCUAGAUCAGUCGGGUGUGAAAGCCCCGGGCUUAACCUGGGAACUGCAUCCGAUACUGUCUAGCUUGAGUACAGGAGAGGAGAGUGGAAUUCCACGUGUAGCGGUGAAAUGCGUAGAUAUGUGGAGGAACACCAAUGGCGAAGGCAGCUCUCUGGCCUGAUACUGACGCUGAGGUGCGAAAGCGUGGGGAGCAAACAGGAUUAGAUACCCGGGUAGUC